CGUCGAAGCACAGUUCU
rnacentral:misc_RNA from 1 species